UACGUAGGGGGCAAGCGUUGUCCGGAAUCAUUGGGCGUAAAGAGCGUGUAGGCGGCCUGGUAAGUCCGCUGUGAAAGUCCAGGGCUCAACCCUGGAAUGCCGGUGGAAACUGUCAGGCUCGAGUCCGGAAGAGGCGAGUGGAAUUCCUGGUGUAGCGGUGAAAUGCGCAGAUAUCAGGAGGAACACCAAUGGCGAAGGCAGCUCGCUGGACCGGUUCUGACGCUGAGGCGCGAAAGCGUGGGGAGCAAACGGG
rnacentral:rRNA from 1 species